UACAGCCAUAUUAUGUUGAAAAAACUGUUUCCUGUACGAUCACCGAAGUUAAGCAACGUUGAACCUGGUCAGUACCUAGAUGGGUGACUGCUUGUGACUACCAGGUGCUGUAAG